rnacentral:miRNA from 1 species
UGGACUGUUAAAAUUUUAAUGGCA